UGCGCUAAUUUACAGUUUGAGAUUUGUCAAAGUAAGAUUAGAGACUAUAAAGAUGAGCUUCUCUUCCUCGCCUUAAUCUUCUAAGAAACACGUUUUAAUCAGCGUUGCCAUCCAGCAUGUUGAUCGAUUAACACACGUUAUUUACUUAAUAAAAAAAAAAUCAAACUUUACACCAAGAAAGUUAUACGGAAACAGUUUUAAGCUGCACCAACUUUAAGUUCAAGAUAUCAACAUUUAAGACAUUUUAAAUGCUUUUUAAGGCAUUAUUGUCGAAUUUUCCAGUUUACGACUUUUUAAGACCCCGGGAACCUUACAGAUGUCUGGAGCUCGGUGAACGCACCGGGCAGAAACGCUCGCCGGCCCGGGGGUUCUGUCAGUCAACCUGUUUGAGGAAUUCAGACGCUUGAGGAGCGUAGAUCCACUGACGUUUGAUCAGCACAAAAGGACCAACAACAGAGGUUUUGUUUCUGUCGUUCUUUUUGUUGCCCAGCUGGUCAAAUAUUGUUCCAGCCUCGAGCAGAUCAAACAGGUGAGUGGCAGCUUCACACGGCAGACCUGCACAUGAGAGCGAG